GUUCAUAUCACAUGCAAUUGAAACAUAAUAUUGUCGGAUUUUGUCACGUUCAGUCGAAUAUCUGUAAAGGAGCAUUUCGAAGGGGUUUGGGUCCAUUUUUGCAAUUAAAUGGGUUGGGUUCGGUUAUAUUUACCCCAUUUUCUGUCCAGUUGGGUUGGGUUAUAGGUUAUCCCUUUAACCCAACCCGAAGCCGACCAACCCAACCCGUAUACAAAAGUUAAUUUUAAAAAUGUGUAGAAAUUAUAAAACGAGUAUAAGGUCCUUCCCUUUUCCCUGACCCUUCCCAUUCCCGUUUUCCAUUUCCCCC
rnacentral:lncRNA from 1 species